rnacentral:rRNA from 1 species
UGCCAGCAGCCGCGGUAAUACGGAGGGUGCAAGCGUUAUCCGGAUUUACUGGGUUUAAAGGGUGUGUAGGCGGCGUAGUAAGUCAGUGGUGAAAGCUCCCGGCUCAACCGGGAAAAUGCCAUUGAUACUGCUAUGCUUGAGUUCGGUUGAGGUAGGCGGAAUGUAGCAUGUAGCGGUGAAAUGCUUAGAUAUGCUACAGAACACCGAUUGCGAAGGCAGCUUGCUAAACCGACACUGACGCUGAGGCACGAAAGCGUGGGUAGCGAACAGGAUUAGAUA